rnacentral:rRNA from 1 species
CGCUGAUUUGUGGGUAGCAAUAUUCGCAAGUCGGAGUGGCGCAAGGGUGUGUAACACGUGGGUAAUCUGCCGUGAAGUCUGGGAUAACUUGCUGAAAGGCGAGCUAAUACCGGAUGUGAACGCAAGUUCAAAGUUGGGGACCGUAAGGCCUGACGCUUCACGAUGAGCCCGCGGCCUAUCAGCUAGUUGGUGAGGUAACGGCUCACCAAGGCUAAGACGGGUAGCUGGUCUGAGAGGACGACCAGCCACACUGGAACUGAGACACGGUCCAGACGCCUACGGGUGGCAGCAGUCGAGAAUUUUUCUCAAUGGGCGAAAGCCUGAAGGAGCGACGCCGCGUGGGGGAUGAAUGGCUUCGGCCCGUAAACCCCUGUCAUUUGUGAACAAAUUGUUUCACCUAACACGUGAAGCAUUGAUUGUAGCGGAAGAGGAAGGGACGGCUAACUCUGUGCCAGCAGCCGCGGUAAUACAGAGGUCCCAAGCGUUGUUCGGAUUCACUGGGCGUAAAGGGUGCGUAGGCGGCCAGGUAAGUUUGAUGUGAAAUCCCGCAGCUCAACUGCGGAACUGCAUUGAAUACUAUCUGGCUCGAGGAAUGGAGGGGAGACUGGAAUUCUCGGUGUAGCAGUGAAAUGCGUAGAUAUCGAGAGGAACACCAGUGGCGAAGGCGAGUCUCUGGACAUUUCCUGACGCUCA